rnacentral:lncRNA from 1 species
CGUGAGCUGAACCAGAAUUCAUGAGCACAGCGUUAGUUCUUUUUGUAUUGUGUAGUAUGACUUAGGUCGUCUAAGGCACCUUCAGUGACAUAACUUAAAUAAUUUGCCUUGAGUAGCAAGGAAAAGAUUCGGAUAUUUAUUUCAUGUCUACAAACAAGACUUUAAUCAAAUACACAAACAACAAAACAUAGAAAUGAUUAAGUAUUUAAAUUGGAUUAUCAUUUCAAAGUUUUGUUUAUGUGCUACAGAAAUGUUAUAGAAGAGCUAGGACUGGAAAGGUAGAUUACAAUUACAAUAUAUUACUAUCAUCGAAAAAUUUAGGCAAUUCCUCUAAUGUAAAAGUCUUAACUUUAAGAGUGGAACCGUGUUAGAAUAUUUUUACUACAAGUGCCAAGACACAAUGAAGCCUGCUCGACGGUUGGUGUAUAAAAGUAGAUUGAUAUUGGUAAUAAAAAAAAGGAUAUUGGUAAAUAU